GUUAUUUGCUUCUCAAGUUAAUGCAAUAUACUAAAUCCUUAUGGUGAGUUACUUGCAGGAAAUAAAUUUACAAGUAUAUAAAUUCUGGGCGAUUGCUCAUACAGAAUUACAGAUGACUUUUGGUUCUGAUUCCAUCAGUUUUUGCUCAUACAGAAUUACAGAUGACUUUGGUUCUGGUUCCAUUAGUUUUCCAUUAGGCGGUCUCUUAUUUUUCUAGGGAUAUUUUCAAGACUAAAGGUUUACAAUCAGAAUUAAAUGUUGCACUUUUGUUAGUAUCACAAAUUUGUAUAUUUUGCAAGCUGUUUGUAGUAUAAGGCAGUUAUCAAGCGAAAUCUAGUUAUUGUUUACCGUGGUUUAUAAAGUAUAUUUUAAUAUGCAGAUAAUAUUUUGGAGGAAACGAUUGGAGGAGUGACAAAUUAUAAAGGAUUUUGUGAUGCCUUCUAUGUGGUCAUGAACUUUGAUAAACUUUUCCCGCUCCUUGAUUCUGGUUAAUUUUUCCCACAUUUCGGAGGAAACUUCAGAGAGCAGAGGUUAUCUUUGUUUCUUGGAAACUUCUAAAUGGUUUUCAGGAUGAUGGUGAAGCAAUAUCUUUACAUGUUUGCUCUUUAUUUUUUAUUUUAUUUAUUUUUAAAAUUUUCAGUUGCUCGGAAUGUGAUCUUGACUCUUAUGUACAGAAUAUCCAGUUUUCUUCUGUGCUUCUUCAUCUGCUUGUGGAAAUCCUUGUGGUCAAAGAUAAUGGAUAUUAAUGGAACAAGGGUGUAAGAUUUUCGUUUGGCUUUUUCUUGUUCAUUUCUGUUUCUGCAGUCUUGUUUUUUGUUUUGGGGGAGUUCAGGUGGAGAUUGAUCAUUUCUCAUGGGGUGGUGUGAAGGGAAAAUUAUUCGAUGUUAACUUGUGCCUACAUUUGCAUUGGUGGUUCCCCCUCUCUAGCAUAGCUAUAUAAAUCUAGAUUGUAGACUUUUUUAGGUCUUCUCGUAUAAAAUGCCUUAGGAACUUGAUCUUUCUCCGUGUGCAGACAGAUUGACACGAAGUGGACAAUGCUUAUAGGAAAACUAUUGAGAUUUGAGUUUUUGCUUGUUUUGCUUUACAAAUUAUAUGGCUGAGGUUUCUAAGCAAGUCAUGAUCAACUUUUCCUCUCCUUGAUGGUCUUGUUAAAACCCUUAUUUCUUGCCACCCCAUUGAUGCAACAAGGAUGUCAUUAAAAGUCUAUUCAAGGCGAAAGACUAAUAAUUAGUAGAAUUCGAGUUUAUUUAGUAGUUUUAUUUUGAUAAUGUUCUUAUUGUUCCCCCUUAUUUCUUAUUGUUCCUUAUCAAUUUGUAUGCUUCUGCAUCACCCAUAUUUCAAAUCAAGUUGGAAAUCCGAAAGCACUUUGGAUUUAGCAUCACAUAGCAAUUUAAAAUAUGCAUCAAAUUAUUAUUAUUAUUAUUAUUAUUAUUAUUAUUAUUAUUAUUCAGGCUGAUCAAAUUCUUCCCGCAUGCUUUUUUGUUCUAGUGAGUGUAAAUGGGGCAUGCUGACAAAUACUCUUAAGAAUCUUUGAAUCAGGGUUUUUUGGUUCCAUUGCCUGUAAAUUGAGGCCAUUAAUUGUUCCUGAAAUGGCGGUUCACUCCUAGGUAAUAUCACUAAAUCCUUAGUCAGUGCAUGAAAUAUAUAUAUAAAUCCUGGGUGUUGCUCAUACAUAUAACUUCGGUUUUGGUUCCAUCAGCUUUAGCCAGCAGAUUACUGAGGGGAUAUUUCCAAAAAUAAAGGUUUAAUAUCAGAAUUAAGUGUUGCAUGUUGGAUCUCCUUUCUCAAAUACGUCUGUCAUGUAAAUUUAGUGUUUGAAGUACAAUGCAGUUCUGAAGCAUAUUUAUUUGCUGCAGUUUAUACGUUGUUUUGAAUAAGGUGUUUUUCAAAUGCAGAAAAGGACAAGAUUUUGUCCUCAUGUUUUUGAUUUGCAAUAAUAGAAUUUGUUGUCUCUUUUUAGAUGAUGGUAUCCUAUCAUUGUCAAUCUUUUUAUGCCUGAUUCUCUUACUAUACCUAGGUUUUCAUCCCCUUUUUAUUCCCCCUCGCUCAGAUUUUCUCUGUAAAUUGAGUUGUGUGAAGUUUUCAGUUCAUUGUUUAUGAUGUGGAGUUGUUGGACUCGAAUUUUGCAGCUUGAAUCUACGUAUUUGGUUUAAAUACUAUGACCUUGACUUCCCUCGUAAAAAUUAAUGGGCAGUUGUUUACUGGAAAGUGGUGUUACAGCGUAGGUGAAGAAUUGUUUUGUUAAGGACGAAGAUUUUGUCUGGUCUUUAUUUUUCAUGUUCUCAGCGGUCCCAGUUUGUCUUUUAGGGGAGUUCAGAUGGAUUGGUCAUUUUGUAGGGUAGCACGAAGGGGUAUUCUUUGUUAACUGCAGCUACAUUUGCAAUGGUGAUUUCUUUCAACCUGUUCCAAUAUCUGCUCUACAUGAACGAACUGUAUACUUUUUGACAUCUUUUUUUUUAUAUAUAAUGCCUCAGCACUUUGAUGCAUAUGCCUGACAGAUUGACAUGAAAAGGGCAGUGCGUGAUAGGAAUACUAAUGUCUAAGUUUCUGUGUGUUUGCUUCCUGAUAUUUUGGCCUUUCUGAAGGAGUUUGUCCUGUCUGUCUUUCUAACAAGUCAUGCUGUCCAUCUAUUUCGGUCUGUUUGCUAAUACACUUGUUCAGAUUUGCAUCUUUCCUCUGGUGAAUUGGGUUAAUAUUUUAGGUAUGACUGUACAAGAGCCUUCGGGGCGUUGGUAUUCCAUGUGCAGACAGAGAUUCUUUAAGGAUGAUAAAAUGACUUUUUUGAUUGUUACACCACAAAGAGAAAGGGAUUCUUGGAAUGAGAGUGAACACAGCUUCUGCUGCUGGAGGCCGUUCAUAUACUGAAAAUAUUUUCAAUGGUCUGGUGGACUCUACACCCUCUACCUUAACUGCACACAAUUUCAAUCUUCUCAUGUUAUUCUAUGCGCAGAGUUUAUUUAUUU
rnacentral:lncRNA from 1 species